GUCCGCACGAGCGCACCCUUGUUUGCUGUUGCCAUCAGUUCGGCUGGGCACUCUGCGAAGACUGCCGGUGAUAAACCGGAGGAAGGUGGGGAUGACGUCAAGUCAGCAUGGCCUUUAUGUCUGGGGCUACACACGUGCUACAAUGGUCGGUACAGAGCGCUGCAAACCCGCGAGGGUAAGCCAAUCGCACAAAGCCGGUCUCAGUUCGGAUUGCAGGCUGCAACUCGCCUGCAUGAAGCUGGAAUCGCUAGUAAUCGCGGAUCAGCACGCCGCGGUGAAUACGUUCCCGGGCCUUGUACACACCGCCCGUCACACCACGAAAGUCAGCUGUACCUGACGUCGCUGGAGCUAACCCGCAAGGGAGGCAGGUGCCCACGGUAUGGUUGGUGAUUGGGGUGAAGUCGUAACAAGGUAGCCGUAGGGGAACCUGCGGCUGGAUCACCUCCUUU
rnacentral:rRNA from 1 species